rnacentral:rRNA from 1 species
GUACACACCGCCCGUCACACCAUGGGAGUUGGUUCUACCCGAAGGCGCUGCGCCAACCGCAAGGGGGCAGGCGACCACGGUAGGGCCGAUGAUUGGGGUGAAGUCGUAACAAGGUAGCCGUAGGUGAACCUGCAGAAGGAUCA